rnacentral:rRNA from 1 species
AUGCGGUUUCCCCCAAGGGCGGUGGGCCUACUGCUUUCCCCGCGGGCAGCGACCUCAAAGUCUGCGACAUUGCCGGUUGGGGGGGCGCACCCCUCCUCGUCAUUCUCCAUCACAAGCCCUCCACUCUUCCCUGUGCGGUGCAAACCAACAGCCGUCCGGCAGGGAGAAGGCAUGGUGUCACCGACAGCAGCGCACCGCGUAGCACCACUGCAUUCCGCCACCGGCCGCCGCGAGAGCGCCUCUGCUGGUCACUCUUGCGACCACUUCCAGGUGGUCAUACACAUGCACUCCUUUUGUCCAGGUGGUGUCCAUGGGAUCCAGGUGGCUGUACACGUGCACGUCCGACUGCGGAUGGUGUCCAUUUUUUGUUAA